UGGUGAAAUGCCAACUCGAUCCAUUCAAUCUGCUGAUUGUCAGGUGCAGAUGAUGAUUCUCUGUUGGAGGUGACCUUACCUUUGAACACACGGCAUCCUGUCUGAUAUAGAGCAAAGAACACAAACCUGUUUGGCUUGCUGCAACCAGGAAACCAAAUCAAAGAGUGCACCGAAGAGAGAGAGAGAGAAAGCGAGGGCGAAGAAAAGAAGAAGCAGAAACAUUUCAGCCAAUGACAAAGGACAUGUUUCUGCUGUGAUGUGAGUAGAAGUCUCCUUUCUGCUGACCCUGACAAUGUGGGACUGCUGUGCUGACGAGAUGUGCGCAUGAUGAAUACCGGUCUGACUGAGGAGUGAGAGGAGUGGAUCUCUGUGGAUCUCCGGGGCCAACAUGCAAAGCUUCGAGGGCAUUUUUAGAGAUGCCGUAAUUAAACAUGCCCUCCAUUGUUGGAUAAUGUAAUACUGUUAGAUUAUUAUCAUAUAGAUCAAGCAUGGAUGCUGUUUGAGGAGGCUAAGAUGUGUGUUUUUCAGAUGAAGCUGGGAACUCACAAAAGUCACCAUGAGGACAAUAAAUACCAUCUUAAAACUUGAGCCAGUGUGAAUAGCUGAUUCACAUAUUCAAAAGAGCUUUCACAUCUCUCAAAACAGUAGGUCCAUUAUUACUUAAUGCCACGUCCCUUUACAUAGGGACAGACCGACUUUUAAAGUUUGAUUCACAUCACUUCACAAGAGCGGAAUGAUGGCGGCAGCAGGUUCAGGAGCCUCCCUGAGCCCAACAUUGAGUUCCCAGCCCCCCACCAGUGGAGACCUGCGGCUGGUGGACAAGGCCCUCAAAAGACUGGACAAGCUCCGCAAGCUGUGCACUAAUCCCCGGCUGGGCCUGAGGAACAGUCCACCAUACCUGCCAGAGCUGGUAUCGGAGACAACAACAAUGCUCACACAGGUUUGGGAGCCCUACCGAGGCUCCAGGGCGGCAGGCAGCCAGGUGGCCCGAGAAGAUGAGGCCAAGUACCUGAGGAUCCAUGUCAGAAACCUGCUGGAUAAGACAGACAGAGCGUUGCUGCUGUUUAAAGAGGGGCGGGAGAAGAUAUUCGAGGAGACAUCCAGCUGCAGGAGGAACUUGACCAAAUUGUCCUUGCUGUUCAGUCACAUGCUCUGGGAGCUGAGGGCCAUGUUUCCAGGGGGCGGUUUUCAGGGUGACACCUACAAGCUGACUAAGACAGAGGCUAAGGAGUUUUGGACGCGUUCAUUUGGAAAAAAGUGUAUCGUGCAGUGGAAUAGUUUCAAAGAGCAGCUGUGGAGUGUACACACAUUUGAGGAAGGGAUGGAGUCCAUGGCCCUAAAGUCAACCAUAGAUCUCACCUGUAAUGACCACAUCACUGUGUUUGAGUUUGACAUAUUCACUAGACUGUUUCAGCCCUGGAGGUCACUCAUAAGGAACUGGAACCAGCUAGCAGUGACUCAUCCAGGCUACAUGGCCUUCCUCACCUAUGACCAGGUCAUAGCUCGUCUGGAACACUACCUGCACAGACCUGGGAGCUAUAUCUUUCGCCUAAGCUGCACAAGAAUGGGCCAGUGGGCGAUUGGCCAUGUGACCAGUGAAGGUGACAUCAUCCAGACCAUCCCCCAGAACACACCUCUGUACCAGGCACUCAUUCAGGGCUUCAAGGAAUGCUGCUACCUGUACCCAGAUGGCCGCGACGUUAACCCCGACCUGACAAGCUUGUAUGAACCGGCCCAGAGGGGCAAAGUCAAAGUUACAGAGGAGCAGUAUGAGCUUUACUGUGACAUAGGCAGCACCUUCCAGCUGUGUAAGAUCUGUGCAGAGAGGGAUAAGGACACUUGUAUCCAGCCCUGUGGGCACCUCCUGUGCCAACCCUGCCUCACAGGCUGGCAGCAGAAGUCAGCUGGCCACACCUGCCCAUACUGUCGCUGCAACAUCAGAGGAACAGAGUCCAUCAUCGUCGAGCCUUACCGGUCAGGCAGUAGGAAGUGGGAGGAUGAGGGGGUUGAGAAUGAAGAAGAGGGGGACCAUGAGGACAUUGAACUGAUAGUAAAAGAAAUGGCUGCCUUGAGGAAGUUCUCAAGUUUGGAUUACAAGGUACCCAGGUCCUGCCUCAGCAAUCCACCUCCGGCCCCUAAGAACCUGACAACCCCCCACUGUCCCUCUGCAUCCAGCCACUCCCAGACAUCAGAAACCAAGACUCUGGACAAACACUCCCACUCCCGUUCAUGGCUGAUGGCUGCGUUUGUGACACGUUUCCUCUCAUCAGCAGGCGGACAGUGACAAUGCAGCGCGUACAAGACACAGGAAACAGACACAAAUGAAAAGCGCUGAAUUAAUCACAGAAGCAAAGAGUGUUGACAAUGGAGCAGCGGGGCUCGGACCUUCCAGUCCAGUCAAACAGAGACGGAGACAUAAAGAGAGGGAGGAAUGGAGAGCAGACCUCAGAGAAGACAACGAUGAUCGGGAGUGAUGACGAGAAGAAUGUCGUCCUGAUAGAAAAGCAACUUCCACAAAAUAAAGACUCUUUUACGAAAGGGAGAAAUACUCACUGAUUAACAUAUCUUAUCCAGAAAUCAGCGCUGGUUAAAUAUAAGAAUAGUUUCUGCUGUCAUGUUUAACUGAAAAUGGCCGUGUGUGUAAACCACACCGCUGAAGUUGUGAUGCCGUGGGUGGGACUGAGAGGAAGUUUGCAAUCAAAGGCCUCCAACUGUUCAAUAAUCACACUGCCAUCACCUCCACAGUAGGUUCAGUACUCAAUCUUUAUAAUUAAAGUGUUUUCUGAUCUUCUGUGAAAUAAUAGAAAUUAAUGAAAUGCUCGAUAUUUGAAAAUGUGAUAUGAACGAACGAAGGGGGGGGGGGGCAAUCACAUAUCUAAAUUGAAUAUAUGAAUCAAUAGAAAUAUGUUACCUCGCCAUUUAAACCAUACCUUAAGUUUGUUCUUAUAAGUUAUGUGAGUAAAUAAAUGGCUCUACGUAACUGCACCAAACAGUCUGGUAAUAAAAUGAAAUAAAACUAUAACUGACA